UCCGGAACUGCGACCGGGGACACUUUCUCGUGUGGACGCGAUUACAGAUGUAUUCCCGGCCAAGCGGAAACUGACGUUGAUUAUACGGAUUCUCGUUUUGUUUCAGGUGCACCUGAAACACAGCAUUGACGUCUAA